UACGGAGGAUCCGAGCGUUAUCCGGAUUUAUUGGGUUUAAAGGGUGCGCAGGCGGGAAAUUAAGUCGGCGGUGAAAUUUUGCGGCUCAACCGUAAAAGUGCCUUCGAUACUGGUUUUCUUGAGUGUAGCUGAAGUAGGCGGAAUUUGUGGUGUAGCGGUGAAAUGCAUAGAUAUCACACAGAAUAUCAAUUGCGAAGGCAGCUCACAAAGCCAAGAUUGACGCUGAGGCACGAAAGUGUGGGGAUCAAACAGGAUUAGAUACCCGCGUA
rnacentral:rRNA from 1 species